GGAGAGAGGAAUGAAGUCGUGGGAGAGACAAAAAACCCGCCUCCACACACACCCAGGCUGUGCUGGCUCACAGAAAGAGUGUGUCGUCAUUUUGGUCAAGGCUCUCUAUGGUACUUAGAAACACGUACAUCCGUGGACUCAUCGAGGAGGAGGCUGAAACGCUGGUCACCCACAUCCGUGGACUCAUCGAGGAGGAGGCUGAAACGCUGGUCACCCACAUCUGCAACCAACUUUUUCAGAAAGUAUAGUGCUAGAACACCAUUAAUAAUUUCUGUGCACUUUGUCCUGUGCAUUUUGAAGUGGGUAGCAGCAGUGGAGUCUGAGAAAGCAGCUCUAUAUGCUUCUCGAAUGUGAUCACAUGCCAGCAUGGAACAGUGUUCAGCGAUAGCUAAUGCCAUGGUGGCCUCAGCCUUUUUUGCAGAGUCCAUAUUUAACCUUAAAUGGCAGCUUGUUUUGGGUGGAACUGUUAUAGGGCUUUGCCUUUUGAGUAUGUUUUCGAGUUGUCAUGUGUUUUUUUACAUCACUAAGUUUGGCGUAGAAAUCAGCCUUACAAUACAGGCAGUAUGCUAGUGUAUCAUCUCCAAUAAAUGGAUUCAACUAGCCUUUGAAUUCAGGGUUUGAUUCCCACUCCUUUCUGUAUUUUUGAGUGUACAGUUUAGACUGAGACAUGAUGAGCUAGCCAGCUAGAUGUUUAGCUUAUGUCACAGAAAGGCACAAACACGGUGGACAAGGUGAGUAAGUGACUGAGGCUGUGUGAGUCAAGUGUAGUGAUUUAUUUUAUACAAAGAACAUUUUACAUUUACAUC